rnacentral:rRNA from 1 species
UACGGAGGGUGCGAGCGUUAAUCGGAAUUACUGGGCGUAAAGCGCACGUAGGCGGUUGUUUAAGUCGUAUGUGAAAUCCCCGGGCUCAACCUGGGAACUGCACGCGAUACUGGGCAACUGGAAUUUGAGAGAGGCAAGUGGAAUUUCCGGUGUAGCGGUGAAAUGCAUAGAGAUCGGAAGGAACACCAGUGGCGAAGGCGACUUGCUGGCUCAAAAUUGACGCUGAGGUGCGAAAGCGUGGGUAGCAAACAGG